rnacentral:rRNA from 1 species
UACAGAGGUCUCAAGCGUUGUUCGGAUUCAUUGGGCGUAAAGGGUGCGUAGGCGGCGCGGUAAGUCGGGUGUGAAAUCUCGGGCUUAACUCCGAAACUGCAUUCGUAUACUGCCGUGCUUGAGGACUGGAGAGGAGACUGGAAUUUACGGUGUAGCGGUGAAAUGCGUAGAUAUCAGGAGGAACACCAAUGGCGAAGGCAGGCACUCUGGGACGGUACUGACG